GUCCCCUUCGUCUAGAGGCCUAGGACACCGCCCUUUCACGGCGGUAACAGGGGUUCGAAUCCCCUAGGGGAUG
rfam:Shewanella sp. YQH10 contig9, whole genome shotgun sequence.